AACUGAUCGAUUCUCUAUCUAGUCUACUGCCCAGAUUGAUUUUCUGAUCGUCUGAGCACCCUCGACCUACAACACCAUCCUCGCCGGCCAGGCCUGAACAUACUUCGAGCGAUCGUAUCCAUAUACCACAUGAAGAUGAAGUUUCUGAUAGCAAAUAGAGUCGGAAAAGUCUGUAGAGAUCAAAACUUGGUGCGUCAUUGUUAUAGCAUCGCUCUCCAAGGAGGUCGGCCCACUAAAUCAUAUUUAGUUGAGGGGCUGGAUACCCACGAUGAGUUGGCUGAGGAAUCUGGAAAGCCCAUCGAGAAUCUCAUCUAUCUCAUUG
rnacentral:lncRNA from 1 species